AUGCAGAAAACACAAGGAAAUGCAGAAAACACAAGGAAAUGCACAAACGCGUGUUUCGAUUUCCCCCUUCUCUCCCACGAGGCGAGGAGCUGCCCUGCCGGCGGUGAUGCCGGUGUCACCCAGCCCCACCACAGCACUUCAUUAGCGCUAAUUUGUGCCGUCACGCUAAGUGGCGGGGAGCAGGGAGCAGGGACGGGGGCACGGAGCGUGGCCGGGCUGCCACCAGGCACCCUGACCCGGCCCUGCCCGCUCCCCGUCACACAGUGGAGUGAAAAGCACAACAGAGAUGCUGUUGGCAGCCAAACCCGGUUUUCUAGGCAGCUAAAAGUCGUCUCUUCCUGUGCCCAGGAAAGGGGUCAGACACAGCCCAGGGCUGGCAGGGCCGGAGGAGGUUGUGUGGAAAGGUCAAGAAUAAAACACAGCAAACACUGCGGGAUGGUGCCAAACGCACCUGGAGCCGACGCAGCUUGUUGUUCGUGUCCCCUCACACGUGCUCAGACCAAACUCGUUAGCUCCAGGAUUGGAAAAGCUGAAAAUACCCUGCCAUUGAAAUACAGACAGUGCUUAGAAAGUACAGGAGAGUCAAAAGGAGGUGUUGCACAGCGCUGGCAUUGCCACUUUGCUCGCUGUGGAUCAGGAGGAGCUGCGUGUUGGUGCGAUGUGGCUGUGCGGUCUCCACCAGCCUCUGCAGCUCCCAGCCCAAGUGAAGGGCUGAGGAUUUGUUCCUUUGCUUCCAGUCCCUUCCCUCCGACUGCCAGCCAGCAUGGCUCUAAAAGCUGUUGGGGACUCAGCUGGGGACACCAGUGCAGGCGGCUGGUGAUGCCUCACAGCACCGUGCAUCUCUAUUGGAGCUGCUUGUUGGCACGAGUUGCCAAAAUCCUUCACAAGGGAAGGGAAAUACACCCAGCAACGCACACGCGAGUGCUUCAUCUCAUCUCAUCUCCUAAUCCGCAGCGUUCAGAGGAAGAUUUAAUUUGCUGGGCUCGAAGAAGCGCUCACCCUGCAGCAUGCUGGCUGCAUACCAAUGACCAGGGGCUCUCCCCAGCUGCGGGAAUCAUCCUCCGGCAGCUCCUGGGGACACCCAGGGGGAAGCCAAAGCCUGAGGGGCUGCAGAAGGGCAGCACACAGGAGGCUCUGCACCAGUGUGCUUAA
rnacentral:lncRNA from 1 species